GUGAGAAGGUGUGCUGAAAUGUGGUUUGCGUGCGGUUCUUGCUUCGGUUAGAAGUCACAAAGAGACAGUUUGAACUUCAUUUUGGUGGUUGCAGUCCAGCGAUGGCUCCAAAGGGGACGGACACACAACUUCCAGUUCUCUCAUGCUUGCCCACAGACCACACCCCGUCUGCGAGAGAUCGAUCUGUAAAUGCGAAUGGAAGAGAAUUCUGGAAAGCACUUUCAGCGCUGUGAGGGCUUCCACAGGUCUCUGAAGUGCUGGGAGGCUGGGAGGAGAAAAGCAUCACUGCACCGAAGACUACCCGAUGGGCCCCUGUCCCGAGGACUUCCUACCAGGAUGCAUCAGCUGUAAUUGCAAGCGGCAGAAAUGCCCAAACAAUUUCUCACAGAGCAGAAAGCCAUAAAAAGCAGGAGAGCUGUGCGUGUCUGCGUCUGCCCGUUCUGUUCACAGUGUCACAGCAUCCAUGGUCACAGCACUCCAGGGACGCAAAGCAAGCAUUUGCCUCAGGUCUCUUCAUGACCCAGUGACACUGCCAGUCCUCGGGAACCAGAGCUUGCUUGGGACCUGGGAUCUGUGAAGAAGGCAAUGGUGUUCUAGGAAAGAUGUGCAAGGAGGUGGCAUGGAAAGAGAGCGAGCGAGCGAGCGAGCAAGAGAGAGAGAGAGAGAGAGAGAGAGAGAGAGAGAGAGAGAGAGAGGAUCCCUCGGUUCCUUUCCUCGUCGGUGAUGGCUCCCUGGUACGAGGAGUGGAUAGUAAGAAGUGAGGUGCUGGUUCAGCUGCACAGUCGUCUUAGUCAAUGCCCCAAGAGCCUCGUCUGCAAAGGAGACGGUGUUUGCAGCUUCUCCCCUCCACCUUGAUGGCAAGUGUAAACUCUUCCUUUAAUAAAAAUGGAUGCAUGUA